AGAGUGAACGCUGGCGGCAGGCCUAAUACAUGCAAGUCGAACGGCAGCACGGCAGAGCUUGCUCUGUGGGUGGCGAGUGGCGGACGGGUGAGGAAUACAUGGGAAUCUGCCCAGUCGUGGGGGAUAACGUAGGGAAACUUACGCUAAUACCGCAUGCGCCCUUCGGGGGAAAGCCGGGGACCUUCGGGCCUGGCGCGAUUGGAUGAGCCCAUGUCGGAUUAGCUAGUUGGCGGGGUAACGGCCCACAAGGCGACGAUCCGUAGCCGGUCUGAGAGGAUGAUCAGCCACACUGGAACUGAGACACGGUCAGACUCCUACGGGACGGCAGCAGUGGGGAAUAUUGGAACAAGUGGGCGCAAAGCCUGAUCCGAGCCGAACUACCGCGGUGGGUAGAAAGGAAGGUCCCUUCGGGUUAGUAAACGGUCCCUUUUAGGUUACGGG
rnacentral:rRNA from 1 species